CUCUGACUAACUGCAUGUCCUUUUUUACACUGUGUCCCGGUGUCGAUCAAACACAGUGAAUUGCGCGAUAUGUACUUAGCAACAUGUGUGAUUAUUGCCUGCACAUACCUCGCCGUGAAAGCGACACACAUCUUCAACGUGGAGAGAGACUUCAGCCGGCUGAGCAAAGACGCGGAGCUUAGUAAGUAUGUGGGAGAGAUAAUAGCCAAGCUGAAGACUUUCAAAGUCCAGGUGCACCCCCGCAUCCGUCUGUUCUACCAGUUGCUGAAGCGAGGCAUGAUGGACUACCGGCAGAAGCAUUCCGACUCGCUCUACAACCCUGAAGCCUACCAAGUCAAGGACCACAACCUGGAAACUAACACUGGAUCAUAGACGCAGCACCCAGCAUUAAUAUAAUGUAUCAUACUCAAAUAAAAAUCAA